UCCCUGGUGGCCCAGUGGUUAGGGCUUGGCGCUUUCACUGCUGUGGCCUGGGUUCGAUCCCUGGUCAGGGAA